rnacentral:rRNA from 1 species
ACGAACGCUGGCGGCGUGCUUAACACAUGCAAGUCGAGCGGUAAGGCCCUUUCGGGGGUACGACGAGCGGCGAACGGGUAGAGUAACACGUGGGUGACCUGCCCUCAGCUCUGGGAUAAGCCCGGGAAACUGGGUCUAAUACUGGAUAUGACUCCAUGACGCAUGUUGUGGGGUGGAAAGCCUUGUGCGGCUGAGGAUGGGCCCGCGGCCUAUCAGCUUGUUGGU